rnacentral:snRNA from 1 species
CUCACUUCUCAGCCUUUUGGCUAAGAUCAAGUGUAGUAUCGUACUCCUUUUACAUUCUUGCUGUUAUUUUUAGCAAGCCUUU